AAAAAGGUUAUCUCCGCAAGUCAAGGUCAGAGCAAGAAAUUCAAGUUAAGGAAAAAUUUAAACGAACGAGGCUAGUGUACACCAGGGACCAUGAACCUUCUUUCGAGUUGGCCGGUCAUUGUGACCGUGGAAUGUGGCCACAUUCCCGACACCAGAAUGAAGUUCAGAUAUGGUAUAUGUUCCAGGAAAAUGGAUCGGCCGAUCACAAUUUUAAAGAGAAAAUAUUUUUAGUGUUCUCGGGCAUUUUCAAUAAAACCACGGGUUCACUCAGUUAUGGCUUGACAAAACCAGUUUUUAUGAAAAUAUAUUUCGACAUUGUGUUCACUGAGUACAUCAAGUACUCAGCCCUGCAUAUGUUUUAAAAAUGUGCAAGUGAAGCGGUGAUGACGAAGGGCGGUGUUGAGCAAAGAUGGCGAAUGUGUUUCAGUAUUAUAAUGCUCGGAUGAAUCGUGUCUCCAUACACGGUGUCAUUCUCUCUUGACUCUUUCGCUGCAGUGUAAAAGUUGAACUUAUGUUCCUUUAUAUCAUGCACUCUGAUAUAUUUUGUCAGUUAUUCCAGUUUGAUUUCGUUCA